GGACCAGGCUAGGAGUCUAACUGAUCUGGGACCAGGCUAGGAGACUAACUGAUCUGGGACCAGGCGAGGAGACUAACUGAUCUGGGACCAGGCUAGGAGACUAACUGAUGUGAAACUAGCUCUUAGUUCCAAACUGCACCCUAUUCCCUAUAUAGGGCCCAUAGGGCUCUGGUCUAAAGUAGUACACUAAGUAGGGUAUAGUGUUCCAUUUGGGAUGCAGUGGGGUAGUUUUACGUUUAUCGGGAGACGUGCAAAAACCAAACAGGACAGACGGUUAAGAGACACGUUGCCCUACCAAUCAUAUCAACACACGUCAGGAGACCAGUCUUUCACACAAGAAGAGUCAAACAAAGUUCAUCAGUUGCAUAAUAAGAUUAACACAUAUAUUUUUGUUAUUAUGUGAAAACUUUAAUUAAAAAAGACAACAGAAUCCAGGAUCUACACUACUACAGCCCCUAAACCGUCUCUUCCUCACACUGGUUUUACACUGCCCCUUUAACACGUUCAUAACAUCCUUGUUGACUUGCUGCCUGUCUGUCCACACCUGGGUCGUGUUCAUUAGGGCACAUACGUUUCAAAAACAUUGUGCAACACAAAAAGGCAAAUAGUACUCCCUGUUUCUGUCCAUUUUGGUGCAUGAUGAACAUGACAUCGCUUCAAAAAGGCUUUUGGGGAAAAGUGUUUCAUAUCAAAUCAGCCUACUAGCUUUAUAAAAGGUUAGACAGGUUAUCCUCUCUCAUUUAAUACAACCAGAGAGAGAGAGAGAGAGAGAGAGAGGACUUCUCCCACUACUCUACCAUUUAGAGAGAGAGACUUCCUAGCAGCCCCAGCUCCCCAACCUCACUAGAGGCUGUUGUGUCUGGUAGUGUCAGAGACAAUAUGACCAGUCAGAGACAAUAUGACCAGUCAGAGACAAUAUGACUAGGCAGAGACAAUAUGACCAAGCAGAGACAGGACGGAGACAAUAUGACCAGGCAGAGACAGGACAGAGACAAUAUGACCAGGCAGAGACAGGACAGAGACAAUAUGACCAGACAGAGACAAUAUGACCAGUCAGAGACAGGACAGAGACAAUAUGACCAGUCAGAGACAGGACAGAGACAAUAUGACCAGUCAGAGACAAUAUGACCAGUCAGAGACAAUAUGACCAGUCAGAGACAGGACAGAGACAAUAUGACCAGUCAGAGACAGGACAGAGACAAUAUGACCAGUCAGAGAUAAUAUGUUCAGUCAGAGACAGGACAGUGAAAAUAUGACCAGUCAGAGACAAUAUGACCAGUCAGAGACAAUAUGACCAGUCAGAGACAGGACAGAGACAAUAUGACCAGUCAGAGAUAAUAUGAUCAGUCAGAGACAGGACAGUGACAAUAUGACCAGUCAGAGACAAUAUGACCAGUCAGAGACAAUAUGACCAGUCAGAGACAGGACAGAGACAAUAUGACCAGUCAGAGAUAAUAUGAUCAGUCAGAGACAGGACAGUGACAAUAUGACCAGUCAGAGACAAUAUGACCAGUCAGAGACAAUAUGACCAGUCAGAGACAGGACAGAGACAAUAUGACCAGUCAGAGACAAUAUGACCAGUCAGAGACAGGGCAGAGACAAUAUGACCAGUCAGAGACAAUAUGACCAGUCAGAGACAGGACAGAGACAAUAUGACCAGGCAGAGACAAUAUGACCAGUCAGAGACAAUAUGACCAGUCAGAGACAAUAUGACCAGUCAGAGACAGGACAGAGACAAUAUGACCAGUCAGAGACAAUAUGACCUGUCAGAGACAGGACAGAGACAAUAUGACCAGUCAGAGACAAUAUGACCAGUCAGAGACAAUAUGACCAGUCAGAGACAAUAUGACCAGUCAGAGACAGGACAGAGACAAUAUGACCAGUCAGAGACAAUAUGACCAGUCAGAGACAGGACAGAGACAAUAUGACCAGUCAGUGACAAUAUGACCAGUCAGAGACAAUAUGACCAAUCAGAGACAGGACAGAGACAAUAUGACCAGUCAGAGACAAUAUGACCAGUCAGAGACAGGACAGAGACAAUAUGACCAGUCAGAGACAGGACAGAGAUAAUAUGACCAGUCAGAGACAGGGCAGUCAAGUUGUUUAACAUGUCCAAAUGAUAGGUAGAGGAUGAAACGAUUAAUGAACUAGCGAAGUAGAGUUGAGAAAGUUAAAACAAAACAUUGGGAUUGUGAAUUUAAAAAAAAAACCUAACCAAAAAAUAAAUAAAAAAAUUAUUUAAUUUAGCAUCUGUCCUAACCCAAAAUCAGAAAUAACUUUCUCUGUUAGCUGCGCACCUCUGGGGCCCUGCGCACCUCUGGGGCCCUGCGCACCUCUGGGGCCCUGCGCACCUCUGGGGCCCUGCGCACCUCUGGGGCCCUACAUUGUCCUGCUUCUGCUCCAUGUGCUCUCUGCCUGUUCCAUAGCAACGGCUCCGCUCGGAUGAUGAGAGAGAGACAGAGCUUUCAGCCUCUUUUUCCUUCACAAAAAAAAAAAAAAAAAAAA